AUGGCGGCGCCUAGGCCACAUCAGCCACAUGGGAUGAAACUAGCAGAGACGAAGAAGGCGGCGGUCGUUGGGAGGAAAAAGGUCGCCGGGAAGCUGGAGGGCGUGCACCAGCUGCGGCUGCUGGACAACCGCUACGUUCAGUACAGGUUGCUGAACGCCCGGGGGCAUAGGCGGCCAAGGAAGAUGGAGAUGGGCUGGUGGAGGAGAAAGGCAGUAGAAUGCUGUCGCCAUUAUUCCAACCCACAUCUUUGGAUCAGAGAUUUGGUUCGCUCAUUGCCGUGCCGCAAGUUUCCGACAUUGCCGUGCCUGCAUAUCGUCGACUUCGUCGGAAAUCCGUGUGCACGUACUCCACCAUCUGCCGGAACUUCUUCUGACCUGAGUAUUUUUAAGGUAUAUAGUUUGUAUGACUUUGCACAAUACAAGAUAUUUUUUUGCUAUGUGGUCCUUGGUGUCACCUUUGUAAGGAUUGCUUCAUUUGUAGAUAUCUACGGCAAAAUCGAAGUCGUCAAAUCGGAAGUGAUGGGUGAAACUUUGUUCUCUAGGCGCCAAUGUCUAACACUCUUGCCUGGUAAUGUUAUGUGCCGGGAUGAGAGCAAACGAGAGAUGGCAGGAUGUGUGUGCCUAAUGAAGAAGGAUCUUUGUGCAACACGCCUGAUUUCGCUGGACACAAACGGCGCUCACUAA
rnacentral:rRNA from 1 species